rnacentral:lncRNA from 1 species
CAGAUUUAUUUCUUCUUGCCUAGAGACCAUUAUGAUAAUGCAGCAGGGCCACCAGUCAGUUUCAGAUAAUGAUGUCAACCCCGGCCACCAAGAAGUAACCUUGUCUCCACUAGACAGAGCAGGUUGCAGGAAUUUAGCCAAUUCAGAGGUCUUGUUCUCCAUAAUUUGGAAUUUUCCUUCGGAUUUGAUCAAGUUGGAUAGAGUUGGUCAAACCCAAUGGGAAAAAGAUGAAAACAACAAGAAACAGAAACAAACAGCAACAACAACAACAACAAAAACAAUGCAUUUAAUUAAAUGAAGAUGAGCUCAUGCUGGAGUAGGGUGGACUCUGAACCCAGUGGGACAAGCGUCCUUAUUAAGAAGAGGGAAAUCUGGACACACACAGAGCAGAGACCGCCGUGUGAAGAUGGAGGCAGAGAUCGGAGAGAUGCUGCCACACGCCACAAAUGCCUGGGGCUCCCAGAAACUACACGGAGCCUCCCCCAGCGGCUUCAGCAGGAGCAUGGCUCGGCCAACACUUUGAUCUUGGUCUUCCAGCCUCCAGAACGGUGAGUCGUUUUCCUAAAAUUCCCUUUUCCACUGGUGUGUGGUGCAAGAUGAGGCACAUUUUCCAUGGAUGGUGAACAGAGGGAGGAGCCUUUUGAUCACAACCAGGUCACCCCACUUCUAAGCCACUGUGCCUCCAGCCCCACAAGACUAAGGAGAGAGAGCGCAGCGUGGUGGAGAGUGAGCUGUGCUGGGACCAUUGUUUCCGUAACCUCGUUUUCUGUGUCCAGCUGACACACCUUCAAAGUGGCAUCAGGUCCUAAACUGUAGCUUGCAAUGUGCCUGUUUCCAGAAACCAAGGUGAAAGUGCUUUUAGACAGUGUUCCCAUGCAAGAGUCCCUUCCCAGCUUUUUUCUGGAAAUGCAUGUUUCUCUGAACUCUGAGUCCCAAGAAAAAUCACUUGAGACACCAAGAAAAUGGGGGAAGUGCUAAAAUUGUGUGGGAAUUCAAGCUUAACAAUAAACAUCAAGACAUUUUUGAUAAAAAUGAAUCCACUGACAUCGGGGAGGAGCAAGAGAACAGCACGCUGACACUGGGUCAGAGGCUAAGACCGACAUUUCUGGGAACCACUCCCGGAAGGGCACAGAGGAGACGCUUUCAGCCUCUCAUCAGCCAGCCUGGCCUGUAGCUGCUGCACGUUAUGAGUGUGUUCCUGGCAUGACUGCUUCUAACAGCGACCAUUUCAUUAAGUUUUUAAGUGCCUGGUAAUUGCU